rnacentral:rRNA from 1 species
UGCAGUCGAGCGGCAGCACAGAGGAGCUUGCUCCUUGGGUGGCGAGUGGCGGACGGGUGAGGAAUACAUCGGAAUCUACUCUGUCGUGGGGGAUAACGUAGGGAAACUUACGCUAAUACCGCAUACGACCUACGGGUGAAAGCAGGGGAUCUUCGGACCUUGCGCGAUUGAAUGAGCCGAUGUCGGAUUAGCUAGUUGGCGGGGUAAAGGCCCACCAAGGCGACGAUCCGUAGCUGGU